AAGUCGUAACAAGGUUUCCGUAGGUGAACCUGCGGAAGGAUCAUUAUUGAAGCUCGGAAUGCAUGUUCGGUGCUGAUGCUGCCCAGCAAUGGGACGUGCUCGCUCGGAUGUGUGUCCCUUCUCUAUUCCACCCCUUUGUGAACCAAGUGUGCGAGCCGAUGAGAGAUCGGAGGCUCGCAUGCAAACCCUUAACAUACCCCAAUGAAGUAUCAGAAUGUAACUUGCGUUAACUCGCACAAAUACAACUUUCAACAACGGAUCUCUUGGCUCUC
rnacentral:misc_RNA from 1 species